CUUCCUUUAUCACCACAAUUUUCAGUGUUUUUUUUUUUUACCUCUAAGCAACUACAAGUAUUGAAUUCAACACUCCAUUUACACAGGGUACGUGUGUGAAUAUUUGCAUUUCAUUUUUGUCAACAAAUGAUCAGAAUGCAAUAUUUCCACAUUCAAUUUUUACAUUUUAAACCACUACAAAUCCUGGAUUUGUAGCCAGCAGCAGGUGCUCACCACAGCUCAUUUCCCACAGUUUGCUUCAAGCAAACCUAUAAAAUUGGGGUUUUUUUUUUGAAGAGAAGGGUGGGAAUUCCAAUCCCUCUUAGAAUUAUGGAAUAUCCUGAGUGGGAGGGGACCCACAAGGACCAUCCAGUCCAACUCCUGCCCUGUACAGAAACCAAAAUCCACCCCAGAAAUCCAUUCUUGUGCUGUCCAAAUGCUCCUGGAGCUUUGGCAGGUUUUGGGAGCCCAAAAAGCCCUCAGGGCUUGAGGUGAGGUCAGAGUGGGACAAUCUCCUCCUUGGACCUCCUUCCAUCUCUCCACCACACAGGAAUGAGGGACGAUGCAGGAAAUGCAGAGGGACGAUGCAGGAAAUGCAGAGCAACCACCAGAAACUUCCACGAGGCACCAAUUCCAUCCCUCUGCCAGCAGAAUUCAGUGGUGGGGCCCCAUUUUCACAUUGUUUGGAUGUGGAGGGAGACAGGAAUUGUUCUCCCACAGGACACCAAAGUUCUUCCACCAGCACAGGCUUGGAUGUGAUUGGGAGUCAAAGAGAGACAGCAAAGCCCACGUUUACCACGUUCCAGGUCCUCUCUUUGGGGCAUCAGAUUCCAAAGGCUUUCCUGGAUCCUUCCCAGCUACUUCCAGCUUCAAAUCCUGGGUAAGACCUGCCAGGAACUCAAAGGAACGCAGAGGAACAGCCACAUCCAGGAGGAUUUCAGGAACUCAAACAGCCACAUUCAGGAGGAUUUCAGGAACUGAAGGGUACAGCCACAUCCAGGAGGGUUUCAGGAACUCAAAGGAAUUCACAGGAACAACCCCAUCCAGGAGGAUUUGAGGAAUUCAAAGGAACUCAUAGGAACCACCCCAUCCAGGAGGAUUUCUAGAAUUCAGAAGAACUCAUAGGAACCACCCCAUCCAGGAGGAUUUCUAGAAUUCAGAGGAACAACCCCAUCCAGGAGGAUUUCAGGAACAGCCCCAUCCAGGAGGGUCUCCUUGGAGCCACCCUCAGCUGCAGAUCCCCAUUAAUCAUAGGGUUCCAGCUCCUUGGGGAUCAGGGGCUCGGUGUCCUCGGUGGGCCCUGGGGGCUGCGGGGCCAUGGCCAGGCUGUGCAGGGUCUCCUGCUGGUGCUGCUUGGCCUUGUUGUAGAGCAGGACGCCCACGGUGACCAGGACGGUGCCCACGGCCGACAGGCUGGUGAUCUUGUUCCCAAACACGAUGAUGCUGAGCCAGAUGGACAGGGCGUGUUUGACAGUGCUGGCAACGCU
rnacentral:lncRNA from 1 species